GAUGACAUUAUCGUUUAUGAAGAAAAUUCUACAAACAGACCAAAAAACCCACAAUAAAAAAAGAAGCCCUGCUAGAACCAAUAACUGAGUCCAGAAUGGUCAUAAGAUACAAAGUUGACAUAUAAAAACUGUCUUCUCUGUAAUAGUAAUGAUAAUGUGAUAAUGUGCAAACUGAAAUUUAACCCUAUGCCAUGUAAUGACCCUCCCCCCAAAAGUUGCCUGGAUAAAAAUCUAACAAAAUAUGUUCAGGUUCUGUAAGGUGAGAAUUACAAAACACUAAUGAAAUAAAUCAGAGUGUCUAAAUAAAUGGAGAAAUACAAUGUUCACGGAAUGACUCAAUAUCAUAAAGAUGCCAAAUCUCACCAAAAUGAUCCACAGAUUAAUGUAAUUCUAUAGAAAUCCCACAAGAUGUUUUGUAAGUAGAGAUAAGCACAUGAUAAAAUUCACACAGAAAACCAAAGGAAAAAGUGAUAUAGAAAGCUAAAUCAAUUUUUAAGAAGAAUAAAGGGGAAAUUACCCAAUUAUUUAAUGACAGCCACAGUACUCAAGAGAGUGUAACAUUAGCAGAAGUUUAAAUACACAGAUCAGGAGUUCCUGUUGUGGUGCAGCAGGAACGAAUCCAACUAGGAACCAUGAGAUGCGGGUUUGAUCCCUGGCCUUGCUCAGGGGGUUUGAGAUUCAGCAUUGCUGUGAGCUGUGGCGUGGAUCGCAGACAUGGCUUGGAACCCUUGUUGCUGUGGCUGUGGUGUAGGCCAGCAGCUGAAGCUCUGAUCCGACCCCUAGCCUGGGAAGUUUCAUAUGCCGCACCUUCGGCCCUAAAAAAAGCAAAAUAAAUAAAUAAAUAAGUCUUAAAAAUGUAGUACAAUGGGCCAAUUCAUACGUACAUCUUCAUCUUCUUAAGUAAGAAAGCAUAACUGGAGUUCCCGGCAUGGCUCAGUGGUUAACGAACUUGACUAACUUCCAUGAAGAUGCAGGUGUGAUCCCUGGCUUUGCUCAGUGGGUUAAGGAUCUGGAAUUGCCGUGAGCUGUGGUGUAGAUCACAGAUGUGGCUUGGAUCUGGCAUUGCUAUGGCUGUAGCAUAGGCCGGUGGCUAUAGCUCUGAUUAGACUCCUAGCAUGGAAAUCUCCAUAUGCCUUGGGUACGGUCCUGAAAAAAAAAAAAGAAAAGAAAGCAUAAUUAAAACCUUCAUAUUUCUCAUAAAGACAUGUACUACUCAAGGGUAGAGACAGUGUUGGAGAAGAGAGACAGUCUUCAGGCAAUGUCUUCACAUGUACCCUCAACUAUUCUGAAACUGGAGAGCAGUGCCUGUAUAUAUGACACAAAUAAAAGAAACGAGGCCCCUGAUCUCUGCAACAACACCGCCCUUACCCCAAAUAAACUAAGAAAGGGAUGACAAAUUGGCAUAGGCUCAUCAGAGAACCACGAAAGAAGCUGCACUUGCAUUUCACUCUCAUUUCUUUUCGAUGUCUCCUCUCUUUUGUUUAUAUAUCCCUGAGAUAAUUUUGCAGUGUAAACUAAGGGGAAAGAUGUGGCUAAAGGUUUUGGUAAGUGCACAAUAAGGACUGAACCACUCUCCUGGGUGAACUUUCAGAUACAGAGUAAGUUUCUAGGCCCAUUUCAAACAUAACUCUUUAGAUGACAACUGACAACCUGCAACAAGUUUUCUCCCAGAGAAGAAAACUGUGGGGUUUCUCUUUGGUAUGAAUGAUCAGAUUCUGAGUAAGACGUUUCCUCUAGCAAAAGAUUUUACCCAGUGGUUACAUUCAAAAGUCUUUCUCCAAAAGGAAUUCCUAGAGGCUGACCAGGGACUAACCAAAUGUGAAGGGUCUUCCCACAUUUUUCACGGUGACAGG
rnacentral:lncRNA from 1 species